GGAGGCCGGGGUGGGAGGAGGCGUGUGCUGAGUGUGGCUGGCCCACAGAGGCAGGGGGAUGGCAUUUCAGACACGGCCCCGUAGGAGCUGGGGUUAGAUCAAGGCUAGGAAUUCACUCCAACAUAUAUAAAGGGAGGAGUCCGUCAGGAAUGGACAUCUUUGACUCAGUGAGGCCGGGGGCAGGUUUUGCUGAGGGAAGACAGGAAGCAGGAGCGUGGCCGUGCCCCUGGUGGAGGUAUUUGGUUCUUGUUGAAAUGCUAGUGUGGCCUUCUGCCCCAGCUGACCUGGUACAAUGGUAGGGAAGUCCCAGGACACCUGCGGCCUGGUAUCAUUUCCACAUGAAUGUUGCUGUGUGUCAACUGUCUGUCCCUCCAAAGCUCAGGAUGACAUCUGCUGGUCCCUUGGUGGUGUCGGGAGGCGGUGCCUUAAGAUACGAUUAGGUCCUUAAGAGGGUUGUGGCCUAUCUCGUGGACCCGGGCUAGUUACCGCCAGAGCAGGCUGUUAGAGCUCAAGGCUGCCUCUACCAUACCUCUUGGCCCUUCCAUUGUCUGCCGUGCGUUGAAGCAGCUGGGGCCCUCACCAGAAGUUGAACUGAUGCUGGCUGGCACCAUGCUCUCGGCCUCACCAACUCCAGAAUCAUGAACUAAAAUCAACCCCUUUCUCUUAUAAACCAUCCAGUCUCAGGUGUUCUCUUAUAGCAACAGAAAGUGGACAAAGACAGUAUCAUCUCCUUCACCAACUUUAAAGGAAGCCCUCAAAUGAUACGGUUAGGCCUUCCAUGGGCUCCCAGUUCCCAGCCAAGGCCUGCCACUGGCUCGGGAGUGGAGGUGCAGUGAGCUGUGUGCUGUUCCUUCCUGCCCCCCUCUUCCUGGGCCUGUUAUGUAAGUGGGUGGUGGUGCCCAGCAAGCUGGUAGCUUCCUGCUGCAGUGGCAGGGCCGGGCAUCCGAGCUGGCACCGCUCAAGUUCCCCGCAGCAUUCUGAACAUUCGGGAACACAGGAAGGGCUGCGACGUUUAAGCUCCUUUUGUUUUCAAGGAGGGUUGGGAGCCCAUUGGGAGGAGAGGAACAAAACCAGGAAGGCAGACUUGCUUUGCAAAGACAGUGUGUCCGCUUGCUCGGCCUCUGGGAGACCCCGUGCGCCCCUGACUGCACAGCCACACGUUGCCACCUGCUCACAGGCAGGACACUCCCAUACCCCUCCACUCACCUUCCUCAGGCACCCGGAGACGCAGACACACGGGUCCAGGCACACACAGAAGCUGGGGCUUCUGUACACAGGGCCACCACCUGAAUCCGACAUCUGGGGGACAUCCACACACAGAGAUGGGCAAGUGUACCCAGGUGGCGCCCCAUGCAGAGACACCCAGACACACACCACACAAGGACACCAGACACAGACGCACAGAGACAUUCUCUGAGUCUCAGACACGUCCCCUUGGAAUAAGUGACAGGCUGGACUCCCACGUUCACGCGCACCCCCAUCCUGUCUCCUUGAAGAAGCAGCUCCACAGAAAAUACAGGGAAGAGUCCCUUUCCCAAGGGGCCAGGGGGCCUGCCCCGCCUCAGCCCGCUGCCCCUUGGGCCUCGGCCCUGAGGAAGGGGUGGCAGGCUAGAUAAAGUCCCACCAGGGCUCCACGAGGGGACGGCAGUGAGUUCUUCAAUUUUUCUCCUCCCCGUUUAUCUAGAAGAUUCCACGCCAUGUCCUUGAUUGGGUUCCAAGUUUAGAUUCUUCUUUCACAAAGUGAAUGGGUUAAGAGUUGAGGGGAGAGAGGGCUGGCGAGGCCCUGGGGGAGGUGACUGGGGCUGGUGGAGCCGCCGCCAUCUCCCCAGCAUGGAGAUUUCUCUACCUUCCGUCAGCCCCAAGCUGGAGCCUCCGGGGGCCGACAAAGGAGGUGAAAGAAGAUCUCAGGGGUUCCCCACAGUGUCUCUGACAACAAAAUGAGAAAGAUGCCCAGGCCAUUUGCG
rnacentral:lncRNA from 1 species